rnacentral:rRNA from 1 species
UACGGGGGGGGCAAGCGUUGUUCGGAAUUACUGGGCGUAAAGGGCUCGUAGGUGGCCAACUAAGUCAGACGUGAAAUCCCUCGGCUUAACCGGGGAACUGCGUCUGAUACUGGAUGGCUAGAGUUUGGGAGAGGGAUGCGGAAUUCCAGGUGUAGCGGUGAAAUGCGUAGAUAUCUGGAGGAACACCGGUGGCGAAGGCGGCAUCCUGGCCCAACACUGACGCUGAGGAGCGAAAGCCAGGGAGCAAACGGG